CGACAGAUGCAUUGCUCUUUAUUUGUUGUUUAAUGUUGCAUGUGCACUGUUUGACAAUGCUGACGCUUGCAGGUCACACUUGUGUUGAAUGCAACAUCUCUAGCAGAUAAUACAAAGAUUUCGUUCCCAUCAACAAAAUAAAAAAAAUUAUAUUAUACUUUUUAUGAUGUUAAUAUUUCAAUUUUUGUUUUUUGGGAAAGGAAAAUUGGACCCAAUUCUUGCCUUUGCCGUCAAGGCAUCCA
rnacentral:lncRNA from 1 species